rnacentral:lncRNA from 1 species
AAAAAAGAUAGGAUGGGAAUCAAUAAAAAAAGAUAGGAUGGGAAUCAAUAAAAAAAGAUAGGAUGGGAAUCAAUAAAAAAAAAGACAGGAUGGGAAUCAAUAAAACAAGAUAGGAUGGGAAUCAAUAAAAAAAGAUAGGAUGGGAAUCAAUAAAAAAAGAUAGGAUGGGAAUCAAUAAAACAAGAUAGGAUGGGAAUCAAUAAAAAUAGAUAGGAUGGGAAUCAAUAAAAAAAGAUAGGAUGGGAAUCAAUAAAACAAGAUAGGAUGGGAAUCAAUAAAAAAGAUAGGAUGGGAAUCAAUAAAAAAAGAUAGGAUGGGAAUCAAUAAAACAAGAUAGGAUGG